rnacentral:rRNA from 1 species
GAACAAGUACCGCGAGGGAAAGUUGAAAAGAACUUUGAAGAGAGAGUUCAAGAGUACGUGAAACCGUUCAGGGGUAAACCUGAGAAACCCAAAAGAUCGAAUGGGGAGAUUCAUCGUCGACGAAGCUGGCUUCCGUUGGUGCGCAGAUACCCCGCUUAUGGACCUUCGUGGUUCCAAUGAGCGAGGGUACACCGCCUUCGGCCUAAAUGUUCCGGCAACGUACUCGUGCACUUCUCCCUUAGUAGAACGUCGCGACCCGUUGCGUGUCGGUCUACGGCCCGAGUGGUUGCCUGCCGCGUCGCCUUUGGCGCACGCGACAGACCCUCGGUCGCCCGGCCGGCUGCGCGACGGUACUCUGACGGUAUCGGGCCGCAACCAAUCCAUUUUCGAAUGUGUGUGCGUCAGGCCCGCCGCAAGCUCGAUCAGUAUACCCUCGGAGGUACGGACCUGGUGCCGGCUCCGAGCCUGGUCAGCUGUUGGCAGGCGGUGUCCUCGGACUGGCCAAGCUUCGAAUUACCGGUCGGCGACGCUACUGCUUUGGGUACUCU